CUACUUGUCUCAUGCCCUUCUUCUCUCUUUGCAGGUGACCCCCCUUUCGGCUUGGUUCUCAUCUUGGGGGGGCCCUGGCUGCUCAGCCCCCCCAAACUCCGCACUCCCUGAAUCACGGCUCUAGCCAACCUGCUUCGCUGCUUCACCUGCGACCGUCUGUGUGGGGGCUGCACAACACCCGCCCCCCCGCCCCGCCAGGGCGUGGCUCUUCAGCCCGUCAUGCCCAGCUGUGAGCCGGUGCCACCUGCCGCCUGCCUGCCCGCCAAGACCUUCCGCAGCUACCUGCCCCGGUGCCACCGCACCUACAGCUGCAUCCACUGCCGGGCACACCUGGCCAAGCAUGACGAGCUCAUCUCAAAGGUAUGCCCCCGGCUCCCGCUGGCCAGGGGCCCCUGCCACCCGCCACUGGGCCCUUCCUUAGUGCUGGGAGCUUCUGCAUAGGAGCACCCAGCCGAGACUGCAAAACUGACAGUUUCCCCACAGCCGUGCCCUGCUAGUGCUCCCCUGAGAGUGCCCAGCUGAAGACCCAAAGUUUAUGAGCUUCCCUACAGCAGUCUCUCCAGUGCUGUGACCUUUUCCACACCAGUGCCCAGCCAGGAUCUUGUGAGUUGCCAGCACUGCCCAUUCAGUGGCCAGGCAGGACCCCAACACUGUGAACUUUCCUGCAGCAGCACCCUGCCAGUACCCUUGGCACUUUGAUCUUCUCCUCCGCAGUUCCCAGUCCUUCCAGGGGAGCCAUGGGCGUGCCUACCUGUUCAAUUCUGUCUAGUUACUGGUUACACCCAGAAUUCCCCAGGCGGGGACCAGAAUGUGGCACUGCCAGGCGCUAUACCUGAGCAAAAC